GAUGAACGCUGGCGGCGUGCUUAAUACAUGCAAGUCGAGCGAACAGAUGAGGAGCUUGCUCCUCUGACGUUAGCGGCGGACGGGUGAGUAACACGAGGAUAACCUACCUAUAAGACUGGGAUAACUUCGGGAAACCGGAGCUAAUACCGGAUAAUAUAUUGAACCGUAUGGUGCAAUAGAGAAAGACGGUUUUGCUGUCACGUAUAGAUGGAUCCGGGCUGCAUGAGCUAGUUGGUAGGGUAACGGCUUACCAAGGCGACGAUGCGUAGCCGAACUGAGAGGGUGGUAGGCGACACUAGAGCUGAGACGCGGUCCAGGCUCCUGCGAGAGGCAGCAGUAGGGAAUCUUCCGCAGUAGGCGGGAGCAUGGCGGAGCGACGCCACGUGAGUGAUGGAAGUCUUCGGAUCGUGAAGCUCUGUUAUUAGGGGAGAACAAAUGUGUAAGUAACUAUGCACGUCUUGACGGUACCUGAUCAGGAAGCCACGGCUAACUACGUG
rnacentral:rRNA from 1 species